rnacentral:lncRNA from 1 species
UUCAUUCAUUACCAUGGAAGACACAUAGUAGUACAUCAUUAAUAUGAUACGGUAUUAUGAUAUGAUACUCAACCCUCUCUUUCUUCAUUUAAUUCUAUGACACAUCAUCGAAAUUGCCUAGUUUACAUGCAUGAUACUACGUAUUAUACUCCCGUUACGGGAAGCCUUAGCAAUAACGCUUCAGGAGGCCCAGCCUGACGUGGUUUUAUGGUCCUGAGAGCGAGGUAGGGACUUCUGAGUUAGAUUGGCAACGCGGCCAGGUUUGCUGGCCGUAUGAUCUCUACCACAGCAGAUUUUUCAUGGAAAUAGAGGGCUCCAUUGCUCCACAUUGGACCAGUGUCGAUUGCCCGAGUGCCUGUGGCAUCAGACACCUGAAAGCAAGUACAAAAAUGGUUACUGCAGCCAGACCCGAUCCAACUGAAUAUCUGAACACCAUAUACUCACACGAGUGGAGUGGCUAUAGUUGCCGAUUUGAACGAGAAGAUGACUCGUGUUGUAUGCAUCCACUCCAUCAUCAUAUUCUUGAACAAAUGAAUGACCUAUACUCUGGUUGAAUGUGCUACGUUGCUGGUGCCUGGUGAUUAAUUUGAGCGUGCAUACAUUACAUGGAAUGGAAAUCAUCUGCUUUGUGUACGGAGUGAUUAAUAUGACAGUACAUUAUAGUGAAUGAGAAAACAAGGUAUGUGUUUCUACGGUUCGAGAUAUAAUCAUCAUCCUCAGCAACGAGGAAUCCAAAAUUGUAUUGGUUUCUAGAUCACUGGAACAAGCUAGGCCAUCGGUCUUAAUAUAUACAGUACUACACCAGCUACACAUAAGUGCCUAUGUACGUAUAGGUAUAGUGCCUCACAGUUAUUGCUAAGUACUUGACUCAAGUCUUGCAUCUUCACUCAUUACUUCCCUCUGUAUACUCUCUUCCAUGUAGAGGGAGGUCGGUCGGUUGGAAGAAACAAGUUACAAGAAGAACUACUCACAUGUUGUGUUCAUGCAUGAUACAUAUAGGUUUGAUUACAUACACCAUGAGAAGUUUUAAGAAUAGAAGGCAUCGGGAUAAAUUGUCCGAGCAUAAUCCCACGUAAAUCUGGACAUGAAGCUUGAGCCUGUGGGCUCGUCCCACACUCAUCAUGGCUCGAUUCAGAUCGGGCUUGGACCUAGACAUAAAUAGGCUGUGGUGAGGUCCUUUAUUGGCCUUAUUUGUGUCUUGAGCCAAGCUUAGUUCUAAUUGGGCUAGCUCACACGCUAAAAAACUUGUGUCUCGAUAGCUCAUUCUAGGCUAUCCUGUGGAAUGAAACCAGUUGAGGAAGACACGUUAAGUGUUGAUCACACACGUAUGGUAGGAUUCACGUCCGACUAUAUGACGGGGUCACACCCGCGCACUUCCACCCAUCGCUGCCGCGAACCCUGAACCCGCUCCUUUGUGUAUUUCCUAUCGCCUCCACUACCAAGCACAAAACACUCGGCUAAAAGUUCCUACACUCAAGCACUGGACUGCCCUCUCCCAGUUGACAACCAUCAUUUGCAUCGGUUGAUACAAAAAUCCUCUCGCAAAUUGUGGCUACAUAUUCCAAGAACGAAAAGCCUCAAAGUAAAAGAGUUGGUACCUUCUCUUGAAUCUCGAUUCAUUUCAGUAGUGUAAGGAAGUCUGAAUGCAUGAUCGAGUGAGUCCCAUAUGUGCUCAAUAUUUCUGUCACGGCAGUGGAAAAGCAAUGUCGCGAGGUAACGCCUCGCCGCGCCCAGGCCACCGGCACGACACGAAGAGCAGCCUUACAAGCCAACGUUGUUCUUGCGGGUGUAAAGGUUCCGAUCGAUGAUGCCACAUUCUACUUCAGGGAUCUAACGGAGUUUGGUGUACAUUUAAGUAUUUCACGAUAACCCUUUGACUAGCACUUAUAUGCAAGAAGAUAUUCUUCCACUAUAUGCAUUGUUGGAAUUAUGCCCUAGAGGCAAUAAUAAAUGUAUAGUUAUUAUUAUAAUUCCUGUAUCAAGAUAAUAGUUUAUUAUCCAUGCUAUAAUUGUAUUGAAUGAAGACUCAUUUACAUGUGUGG